GGAUAUGUAAUAGAACGAUCACCUAAAGUUAAGGCCAUCUGAGUAGGCUUCCGAUUGCCACAAUUUAACUUCCUCAUCAUAGAUAGAGGCAUCAUAUUGAUGCUAGACCAUAAAUCAAAUAAAUCAUAACCAAUAGUUUGUGAACCAAUGGAACAAGGAAUAAUAAAUCUACCUAGAUCAGUGGGCAUGGGUGGAAUCUUCCUCUGAAUGAUAGUGUUGCACUAUU
rnacentral:lncRNA from 1 species